ensembl:lncRNA
AGGUUAAGUAACUCACGAAAGGACACACAGCUGGAGACAAGCAGGAGGAAGCUUUGCCCCCCGGCCGCCUCAUUGCGUGCUUCCCCACCACUCCACCUGGGCUACCACACUGAUGAGGGCCUGGCCCCCUGUCAGCAUUCUGUGGAGGUUGCUCACUUUCUGGUGGUCCUGCGACCUGCUCUUCCCACCUUAACAACUUGCCAGCCUCCCUCCCUGCCCUCCCUAUUACAGUACCUUCCAGCUCGGCCCCUCCUCCCACCCUCAGUCCAACGCCAAGUCCUGCCCUCCUCCGACUUCCAUGGCAAUGAACAGAGUCAUCACAACCGGUCCACAGGUCGACACCACAGUUGGAGCCAACUUGGCUCCUAGGGGAAAGAGACCAGGCCUAAGUUCAAGCCUGUGAUGGUCUGAAAAAGCACAGCCUCUCCCCUCACAACGUCCUCUAACAGAAAAGCCUCCUGCAGGACAUGACAGCUGGGCAGAAGGAGGCUGGGAAUGGGGCAGGAGAAAACCACAGCGGGACAGAGUGUGAGAAUGGAUCAUCACACAGUGCAGGCCUAUGGAGACAAAUCCAAGCUGAGGCUCAAGGAAAAGAAACACAAAUUGGAAAUCAGGCCUGAGACCUGAUCAUGCAUGAGGACGUCCUUGUCACGUGACCAGACUGGGACCGGCCCCGCCCCCGCCCCCCCCCCCCCACCAACACACACACAUGCCUUCUCUGUCCAUGUUAAGACCUGAUAACCUCCAAUUCCUUCUCUUCCCCUGGGCUUGGCCCCUCUGACUCAAUGGAUUCUCUGGGAAUCCUGGAUAAUAC